CACGCGUUUCUUGUUUCUAGUCACUCCCAUGUAUAAAUAAUGCAGUUGCCAUCAGAGGUCAUUCAUCACCAAAUACACUGUUGGGAGGUCUUGGUUUCUUCUUCUAAUUUUUUCCUUCUAAAACGUUUUCUAAACCUUUUUUUUAUUGUUUACAUUUUUGCUUUUAAUUCCACUGACAACAAAAGAGACAGCAUUGUUCUUUGAGAAUGCUGUGGUGACCAAGUGCCGAGGAACAGAAAGUAUCCCUCAAGAAAAGAGGUUUCUCAAAGAUGCAGUUAUUGGGAAUCAUGAGAUGCGGCUCCACACUCCUGUUGGUCUUAUUUCUGGCAAACUUAGCAGCUAGAAGUCAUGCCCAAGCUGCUAAAGAUUUCAAAGAUGUGGAAAGCACUACAGUUGAUCUUCCACAAGUGGCUACUGUACAGUGCAAAGGCGAUUGUAUAAAAGAGGCAGAGGAUUCUGACAUUCCAAAGCAGUUUCGUUCUGACAUACCAAUUACAGAUGAUGAAGAUGGUGGACAGAAGACACAGCAACACACUACUGAGGAGGACCAGUUUACAGACUUCUGCAGGUCUCCUCCAGUUGUUCCAUUUGCAGAUCUCAAAGAUGAUUUUUUGAUGUACACAGUUUUCACAAAGGGUGCCAUUGUCAGUUACAAAUGCAAAAACGGCUAUGAAUAUGUACCCGGAACUAAGGAAACUGUAAUGUGUAUGGGUGAUGGAAAUUGGUCUGCUCCUGAUACAUUUUGUAAAGUGAAUUUCUGCGGUCCUCCCCCACGACUUGAAUAUGGGCUACCUAAGGAUGAGUACUUGGAAAGAACUACAUUUCCUAAAAAUACCAAAAUUAUGUUUGUUUGCCGGCCUGGUUAUAUCCGUAUUCCUUAUACAAGAGCAACUGCAACAUGCUUGCCUAAUUUGACGUGGUCCCUCCCUACAAAAUUUUGUCAACCUAAAUCCUGUGGUAACCCUGGAGAUGUGGAUAAUGGUGAAAUGCAAGCUGAGAACUUUGUCUUUGGAUCCAGAGUAACAUAUAGUUGCAAUCCUGGAUAUAAGAUGAUAUCAAAAAGGAAUUACAGAGACUGCCUAGCAGAUGGAAGUUGGAGUAAUGAUAUCCCUGAAUGUGCAGUGCAAGCAUGUCCUCCACCACCAGAUACUGCAAAUGGACAUUAUUAUCCAGAAAGAGAGGAGUAUACCUAUCUUGAUUCUGUUAAAUAUGUAUGCAGUGGAAAUCUAGCCCUUAUAGGUCAACAGAGCAUUUCCUGUACAGAGGAAGGACAGUGGAGUUCUCAAGCCCCAGAAUGCAGAGCUGUUCAGUGUACUGAUCCAAAUGUGGACAACGCAUACAAAGUUUCAGGAUUUAUAGGCCCAUACAUCAUGAACACUGUUGUGAGAUUUAGGUGCGGGUCACAAUAUAAAAUGAUUGGAUCUGAUACUGUGAAAUGUAAUGAAAGUAGUAAAUGGGAACCUGAACUGCCAAAGUGUGUUGGUACUUGUCGAUCUGUUCCUCGCUACCAAUAUGCAGAACUAGUGGAACCGACUGCUGAAUUAAUUUUCCUUGAAGGAACAAUAUUGAAGUACAGAUGUAAGGAAGGCUACGAACCUAUUCCUGGUGCAGUAAAUACAGUCACGUGUUUAGGACUGCGCUGGUCUUCUUCUCCUGAGUUCUGUAAACCAAUAAGAUGUGUAGAACCUGAAAAUGUGCCUCAUGGAAGAAUUACUUCUGGCAAUUUCGUAUAUGGCAGUCGUAUAACAUAUGCCUGUGAUACUGGGUAUAAAAUUAAAAACGUCAACAACAGAAAUUGUCUGGCAGACCAAUCUUGGAGUUUGCCCAUUCCGGAAUGUGAAGUUCAAACGUGUGCUAUACCUGAAAAUGUGAAGAAUGGGUGGUAUAGUCCUGUAAUAGAGCAAUAUGUUUACAAUGAGGCUGUAACAUAUAACUGUCAUGAAGGAUUUCAACUUCUUGGUCAAGCUUUAAUUAUCUGCCGCAGUGAUGGAAGAUGGAAUCAUAAUACCCCAGAGUGCAGAGGCAUUUGUAAUGCUCCUCCCGACCUUCCUUAUGCUCAAGUGCAAUUCCCGUAUCCGAAAAUGAAAACUUUCUUUACUGGCACAACCGUUCAGUACACGUGUAGACCUGGAUAUUAUCGGGAUCACAGCUUCUCAAAUUCUAUAACUUGUUUGGGAAACUUCACAUGGUCAAAAAUAUCUGAGUUCUGUAAAAUUCGCACAUGUUCUACCCCUGAAAAUGUUAAGAAUGGUUGGUAUGGUCCUGAAAUGGAAAAAUACACUUACAAUAACACAGUAACAUAUGAGUGUUUUGAAGGAUUUGAGCUUGUUGGUCAAUCUUCAAUUACCUGUCUCGAGAAUGGAAGAUGGAAUUAUAAUAAACCAGUGUGCAGAAGGAUAUCUUGUGGAUCCUCCUCCAAAAGUAAAGAAUGCAGUAUUUGAGGCAAAAGACUUUUUAUUUGAAUCAGAAGCAGUUUAUAAAUCUGAAAAAGGGUACAAAAUUGUUUCCCUGAGUAAUUCUGUCAAGUGCGGAUUAAAUGGAAGUUGGGAGGGUAUUUUGCCAGUAUUUGAAG